CCCCGAAUAGCUCAGUUGGAAGAGCAUGAGACUGUAAUCGGAUACCUUGUGCAUCUCAGGGUCAUCGGUUCGAUCCCGAUUUCGGGGA